rnacentral:misc_RNA from 1 species
AGGAAAAGAAAGAUGCAGUAGAAAGGGACCAUCAAAAUAGGAAGGCCAAUCUUCCUAUCUACUCUCGAGCCCAGUAUAUCUUGAAAAAGUUAGAGAGAGCUGAGGAGUCCAAGAUUAUCUCCAUGGAAAUUUUAAAGAAAAGAAUUCGAGAACGAUUUCGAGGUCCUCACAGGCAAGAUGGAAGAACUAGCAUGUAUAUAAAACCACCAGGCUUUGAACAAAAU